UACGGGGGGGGGCAAGCGUUGUUCGGAAUUACUGGGCGUAAAAGGGCUCGUAGGCGGCCAACUAAGUCAGACGUGAAAUCCCUCGGCUUAACCGGGGAACUGCCUCUGAUACUGGAUGGCUUGAGAUUGGGAGAGGGAUGCGGAAUUCCAGGUGUAGCGGUGAAAUGCGUAGAUAUCUGGAGGAACACCGGUGGCGAAGGCGGCAUCCUGGACCGGCAUUGACGCUGAGGAGCGAAAGCUAGGGGAGCAAACGGGG
rnacentral:rRNA from 1 species